rnacentral:rRNA from 1 species
GACGAACGCUGGCGGCGUGGAUUAGGCAUGCAAGUCGAACGGUAUCAUCCUUUCGGGGGUGAGAGAGUGGCGAACUGGUGAGUAACACGUAGGUUAUCUACCCUCAAGACGGGGACAACCCAGGGAAACUUGGGCUAAUACCGGAUGUGAGCAACUUUUAGUUGUUUGAAAGGUGGCGUAAGCUGUCGCUUGGGGAUGAGCCUGCGUCCUAUUAGUUAGUUGGUGAGGUAACGGCUCACCUAGGCAAUGAUAGGUAGGCGGCCUUAACGGGUGGUCGCCCACACUGGGAUUGAGAUACGGCCCAGACUCCUACGGGAGGCAGCAGUCGAGAAUAGUCUACAAUGGUCGGAAGACUGAUAGUGCGACGCCGCGUGAACGAUGAAUCCCUUCGGGGUGUAAAGUUCUUUUAUAUGUGAGCAGUGCUUCUUAUAUUAACAGUAGUGGGGAGAGAGAUAUUAGCAUAUGAAUAAGCAACGGCUAACUCCGUGCCAGCAGCCGACGGUAAAACGU